rnacentral:sRNA from 1 species
CUCAAAUGUUCAAAGGCUAAGAUCACCACAUGUCCUGUGGUAACGCCUCCUGUGGUAACGCCUUUGUUUGUACAUCCUGUACA